rnacentral:rRNA from 1 species
GACGUAGGUGGCGAACGUUAUCCGGAAUUAUUGGGCGUAAAGGGUGCGUAGGUGGCGUCGUAAGUCGGGUGUGAAAUUUCGGAGCUUAACUCCGAAACUGCAUUCGAUACUGCGGUGCUUGAGGACUGGAGAGGAGACUGGAAUUUACGGUGUAGCAGUGAAAUGCGUAGAGAUCGUAAGGAAGACCAGUGGCGAAGGCGGGUCUCUGGACAGUUCCUGACACUGAGGCACGAAGGCCAGGGAGCAAACGGG